AGCCAAGGCUGUACAUUUUGCUCACUUAGGUUUUCUUAGUUUUAUAAGCGUGAUGUUUCUCUAUAUACGUGCCAAGGCUCAUACAUCAUGCUCAGCUACAAACGUGAAGAUUUCCACUGUAUGUACGUGCUGUGGCUAUAUACUUGAAUCACUUAUAAGCAGGACGAUUUCCUAAAUCGUUGGAGUCACGCCCCGAGAGUAUAGCCGUCCGCAGGCACUCUCUUCAUCUGCAUUUAACUAAGUCAUGGGAGUUACACCCCGAGAGCAUAGCCAGACGUCGGCACUCUCUCCAAUUGUUUAAUUAUAAUUUUAUUAUAAUUCUAUUAUAUCGCUCAUAUUCUAUUGUUAUACGGAAGUGGUGAAUAUAAGGUAAUCUACAAAUCUUCUAUUAUUUCUACCACCUGAUGACCCAGGAACCGUACAUUUUGGUCCUUCGAGCUAUCCGGGAAUAGCGGGUCUUUCGCGUACAGUUGAUCGCGUUCGCGUUUUUCUCCGUUUUCCUGAAGAUCGGCGCCGUGGAAAAACAUCCCACUGCUGGUUUGUGGAGUCAUCAAGCAAGUAGAACACCAUCAUCCGCAUCAAUAGAAAAGAGGAGAGCAACGUGUUAAGUAUCCAGAGGGAGCAUCAGUAUAUCGGCGUCCUUUUGAACCUAGAAGAAGGCAACGGACGUCAAUCGUUAAUAAAGGGAGGCAAGUGAAAUAAGUCCUGUCCCAACAUUUAUAAGGAUCCAGAGGGGUCAACAGUAUAUCGACGUCCUUUUGAACCAAGAAGGCAACGGACGUCAAUCGUUAUUAAAGGGAGGCAAGUGAAAUAAGUCCUGUCCCAACAUUUAUAAGGACCCAGAGUGGUCAACAGUAUAUCGGCGUCCUUUUGAACCUAGAAGAAGGCAACGGACGUCAAUCGUUAAUAAAGGGAGGCAAGUGAAAUAAGUCCUGUCCCAACAUUUAUAAGGAUCCAGAGGGGUCAACAGUAUAUCGACGUCCUUUUGAACCAAGAAGGCAACGGACGUCAAUCGUUAUUAAAGGGAGGCAAGUGAAAUAAGUCCUGUCCCAACAUUUAUAAGGACCCAGAGUGGUCAACAGUAUAUCGGCGUCCUUUUGAACCUAGAAGAAGGCAACGGACGUCAAUCGUUAAUAAAGGGAGGCAAGUGAAAUAAGUCCUGUCCCAACAUUUAUAAGGACCCAGAGUGGUCAACAGUAUAUCGGCGUCCUUUUGAACCUAGAAGAAGGCAACGGACGUCAAUCGUUAUUAAAGGGAGGCAAGUGAAAUAAGUCCUGUCCCAACAUUUAUAAGGACCCAGAGUGGUCAACAGUAUAUCGGCGUCCUUUUGAACCUAGAAGAAGGCAACGGACGUCAAUCGUUAAUAAAGGGAGGCAAGUGAAAUAAGUCCUGUCCCAACAUUUAUAAGGAUCCAGAGGGGUCAACAGUAUAUCGACGUCCUUUUGAACCAAGAAGGCAACGGACGUCAAUCGUUAUUAAAGGGAGGCAAGUGAAAUAAGUCCUGUCCCAACAUUUAUAAGGACCCAGAGUGGUCAACAGUAUAUCGGCGUCCUUUUGAACCUAGAAGAAGGCAACGGACGUCAAUCGUUAAUAAAGGGAGGCAAGUGAAAUAAGUCCUGUCCCAACAUUUAUAAGGACCCAGAGUGGUCAACAGUAUAUCGGCGUCCUUUUGAACCUAGAAGAAGGUAACGGACGUCAAUCGUUAUUAAAGGGAGGCAAGUGAAAUAAGUCCUCACCCAACAUUUAUAAGGACCCAGAGUGGUCAACAGUAUAUCGGCGUCCUUUUGAACCUAGAAGAAGGCAACGGACGUCAAUCGUUAUUAAAGGGAGGCAAGUGAAAUAAGUCCUGUCCCAACAUUUAUAAGGACCCAGAGUGGUCAACAGUAUAUCGGCGUCCUUUUGAACCUAGAAGAAGGUAACGGACGUCAAUCGUUAUUAAAGGGAGGCAAGUGAAAUAAGUCCUCACCCAACAUUUAUAAGGACCCAGAGUGGUCAACAGUAUAUCGGCGUCCUUUUGAACCUAGAAGAAGGCAAUGGACGUCAAUCGUUAUUAAAGGGAGGCAAGUGAAAUAAGUCCUUUCCCAACAUUUAUAAGGAUCCAGAGGGGUCAAGAGUAUAUCGGCGUCCUUUUGAACCUAGAAGAAGGCAACGGACGUCAAUCGUUAUUAAAGGGAGGCAAGUGAAAUAAGUCCUGUCCCAACAUUUAUAAGGAUCCAGAGGGGUCAACAGUAUAUCG